GAAUCUUCGGCAAUGGACGAAAGUCUGACCGAGCAACGCCGCGUGAGUGAGGAAGGUCUUCGGAUCGUAAAGCUCUGUUGCCAGGGAAGAACAGCCUGGGGAGGGAAUGCCCUGGGCUUGACGGUACCUGAGAAGAAAGCCCCGGCUAACUACGUGCCAGCAGCCGCGGUAAUACGUAGGGGGCAAGCGUUGUCCGGAAUUAUUGGGCGUAAAGCGCGCGCAGGCGGUUUCUUAAGUCUGAUGUGAAAGCCCCCGGCUCAACCGGGGAGGGUCAUUGGAAACUGGGGAACUUGAGUGCAGAAGAGGAGAGCGGAAUUCCACGUGUAGCGGUGAAAUGCGUAGAGAUGUGGAGGAACACCAGUGGCGAAGGCGGCUCUCUGGUCUGUAACUGACGCUGAGGCGCGAAAGCGUGGGGAGCGAAC
rnacentral:rRNA from 1 species